rnacentral:sRNA from 1 species
GAAACAUGGCUUGUACCAUCCAAAAGGCAGAAGCACUUGACGGGGCUCAUUUGAUGCAGAUCCUCUGGUAUGAUGAGGAAGAGUCUCUCUACCCAGCUGUAUGGUUGAGAGACAACUGCCCGUGCUCUGAUUGCUACCUGGAUUCUGCAAAAGCACGGAAACUUCUAGUGGAAGCUCUUGAUGUGAACAUUGGAAUUAAAGGCUUGAUAUUUGACAGAAAAAAGGUGUACAUCACAUGGCCCGAUGAGCAUUACAGUGAAUUCCAGGCUGAUUGGCUGAAGAAAAGAUGCUUUUCCAAGCAGGCCAGAGCAAAGCUCCAAAGAGAAUUGUUUUUUCCAGGUAACUUUGCCAAAGUCUUCAAUGUCUUUUUAAACCCUUACAGUAAAGGAUUUUUAUUAAGAAAUUUGCUCACAGAAAAUUCAAACUUUUGUGCUUUGAUUAAAAUAUGUGACAUGAA